UUUGGUGCAAUGUCACUACUUAUAAUGCUUGGUUGGCAACUUGAAUCAAACAUGUUUUUGUGACAAAGUGAGCCAAUUGUCAACACUUAUUUACAGAUUUAUUAAAUUGCAUUACAUCGUGAUGAUCUAUCUGUUCACUUUCAACUUCUUACCCUUAUUUAUCGCUUUUGUCCUCAGGUCUUCAAGGGGAUCUAUCUAGAGAUUUAGAUGAGUCUUUGAUGCAAAUUGCAAGGACUAUAGGAAAUGCAGUGUCGCCGGUAAAAGUUUACCUUGCAUUUCCCCCCUUAAUUCGUUGUUUUUUCUUAUUUGUUUCUAAAAAAUUAUGGUUCUCUACUUUUUCACUAAACUCUGUGCGUUGAUGAAGGUGAUUUUUCCCUUCCUUUUUCUAGGUACACACGUCAUGCAUAAAAUUAGUGCAAAGAAAAUAGGAAGGUUGGUGACUAGCUAGGAGUAACCACAUAGGUCACGAAUGCUUCAUUACAAAAGUGCUUUACACUUGGAGUUUGGUGCUAGCAUGGGGGCAUUGAUGCAUUAUGACCAUGAUUACUAUUGUUUUUGGAGGCUUUUCUUUGGUCAUGACGGUAUUAUUGUCAAUUGAAUUAGUGGUUUGCUUUGUGAUGAUAUUGAUUUUUAUAUUCCUAAA